CUUUCGUUGAUCUACCGAAGACGGCAUAACUGAACGCAAAACCGCAGUAGGGCUACGUUAGAGAAUGGUGAACGAACCAGUCAGAGAAGAAGCUGCAACUUGACAUCAGAUGACAGUGAUUCAAAUAGAGAUUAUGAUAAGGAUGAUGACGGCUUCGACUCUGACGAGGAGAAUGAGGAUGAUGACUUUACACCAUGCACUUCCAACACCAAGAGGGAAAUUAUGACAGGUGUGACAGGAUACCAUCAUUUAACAGGCGACAUCAGAGUUGACAGGAGCAGCUUUCUGUAUCAAUGGUAAAUUGGUCAUGGUAAACUUGUAAAUGGUAAAAUUGGCUGAUUUACCAUAGCAAAUGAGUUAAUUAAUAUUCCAUGUUAAAUUUUUGUUAAGAAAUUUUGCAUAUUGACAAAUGAUCACUCACAUUACUAAUUUAUUUUUUAUCAGAACUGUAUAUUGUUUUUUGGUCUUUCUUGUGUCCCCGACAAACAUGUCAUAUUUCCUUGUAACCGAAUUCUGUCCAAGUGGGGAAAGUUCUCGAAAAGAAGUUGAAGUCAUUCCGGACAACUGGAUUGACCUAGAAGAAAGGAACUGUGUGUUGUGGCCAAUCCACCUAAGAAACAGAACAGAUGUUGAAAAGGCUGCCAAGAAUAAAAUCCCUCCAGACAACACCUGGAAAGCCUAUCCUAUAUCAAGGAUUUUAUGAAAAAGCACGGAGUGGAGUGAAGCUACCAGGAAGUGUAGAAAAGCUGAGGAGACCAGUGACCUGGAGUCUGGGCAGGAAGACAGUGCAGGAGGAAACAGAAGGU